rnacentral:rRNA from 1 species
UACGUAGGAUGCGAGCGUUGUCCGGGAUUAUUGGGCGUAAAGGGCUCGUAGGCGGUCUGUUACGUCGGGAGUGAAAACUCGGGGCUCAACCCCGAGCCUGCUUCCGAUACGGGCAGACUAGAGGUAUGCAGGGGAGAAUGGAAUUCCUGGUGUAGCGGUGAAAUGCGCAGAUAUCAGGAGGAACACCGGUGGCGAAGGCGGUUCUCUGGGCAUUACCUGACGCUGAGGAGCGAAAGUGUGGGGAGCGAACAGG